AUAGGUGUCUGGCCCAGGGAUGGUAUGGCUCAGUGAGGGUAUAGUUAGAGGAGUCUGGCACAGUAUGUUGGCCCAGUGAAAGUAUAGUUAGAGGAGUCUGGCACAGUAUGGUGGCCCAGUGAAAGUAUAGUUAGAGGAGUCUGGCACAGUAUGGUGGCCCAGUGACGGUAUAUAGGAAUCUG